AGAGUUUGAUCCUGGCUCAGGACUAACGCUGGCGGUGCGCCUAACACAUGCAAGUCGUACGAGCCCUUCGGGGCGAGUGGCAGACGGGUGAGUAACGCGUAGGUAAUGUACCUCUUCGCUGGGGAUACCUAUCCGAAAGGAUAGCUAAUACCGAAUGAACUUAUCGAACGGCAUCGUUUGAUUCGUAAACCUCCGGGGCGAAGAGAUCAGCUUGCGUACUAUCAGCUAGUAGGUGGGGUAACGGCCUACCUAGGCUACGACGGUUAGCCGGUCUGAGAGGAUGAUCGGCCACAUUGGAACUGAAACACGGUCCAGACUCCUACGGGAGGCAGCAGUGAGGAAUCUUGCGCAAUGGGCGAAAGCCUGACGCAGCGACACCGCGUGAGGGAUGAAGGUCUUCGGAUUGUAAACCUUUGUCAGUGGGGACGAGAACGGACGGUACCUACUGAGGAAGCAUCGGCUUACUACGUGCCAGCAGCCGCGGUAAUACGUAGGAUGCAAGCGUUGUCCGGAAUUACUGGGCGUAAAGAGCUCGUAGGCGGGAAGGUACGUUUGGAAGUAAAUCUCACGGCUCAACUGUGAGCUCAUUCCGAAUACGGCUUUUCUUGAGGGCAGCAGGGGAGAAUGGAAUUCCCAGUGUAGCGGUGAAAUGCGUAGAUAUUGGGAAGAAUACCGGUGGCGAAGGCGAUUCUCUGGGCUGUGACUGACGCUGAGGAGCGAAAGCGUGGGUAGCGAACGGGAUUAGAUACCCCGGUAGUCCACGCUGUAAACGAUGGAUGACUAGACGUGUGGGGAAUCGACCUCCU
rnacentral:rRNA from 1 species